AAAGAAGGGAAACACAGUGAGCGAAGCAACUGGGCACUUGUGGUUGUUGAAAAUGUUUAAGAAAAUUUCCUUCCAGCAGAACCCAGUUACUUUGUUUCUGGCACUUGAAAUUACUCUUUAUGGAUUCUGCAGUUCCCAAAACC